rnacentral:rRNA from 1 species
CCUACGGGAGGCAGCAGUGGGGAAUAUUGCACAAUGGGGGAAACCCUGAUGCAGCGACGCCGCGUGAGUGAAGAAGUAUUUCGGUAUGUAAAGCUCUAUCAGCAGGGAAGAAAAUGACGGUACCUGACUAAGAAGCCCCGGCUAACUACGUGCCAGCAGCCGCGGUAAUACGUAGGGGGCAAGCGUUAUCCGGAUUUACUGGGUGUAAAGGGAGCGUAGACGGUAUGGCAAGUCAGAUGUGAAAGCCCGGGGCUCAACCCCGGGACUGCAUUUGAAACUGUCAGGCUGGAG